CCUACGGGAGGCAGCAGUGGGGAAUAUUGCACAAUGGGGGAAACCCUGAUGCAGCGACGCCGCGUGAGUGAAGAAGGAUUUCGGUAUGUAAAGCUCUAUCAGCAGGGAAGAAAAUGACGGUACCUGAUUAGGAAGCCCCGGCUAACUACGAGCCAGCAGGCGCGGUCAUCCGUAGGGGGCAAGCGUUAUCCGGAUGUACUGGGUGUAAAGGGAGCGUAGGCGGUGUUGCAAGUCAGAAGUGAAAGCCCGGGGCUUAACUCCGGGACUGCUUUUGAAACUGUGUAACUUGAGUGUAGGAGAGGUAGGCGGAAUGCCUGGUGUAGCGGUGAAAUGCGUAGAUAUCAGGAGGAACACCAGUUGCGAAGGCGGCUUACUGGGCUAUAACUGACGUUGAGGCUCGAAAGCGUGGGGAGCAAACAGGAUUAGAUACCCUUGUAGUC
rnacentral:rRNA from 1 species